rnacentral:pre_miRNA from 1 species
CAAGUACUCCCUCCGUCCGGAAUUACUUGUCAUCAAAAUGGAUGUGUCUAGAACUAAAAUACAUCUAGAUACAUCCAUUUCAAUGUCAAGUAUUUUCGGACGGAGGGAGUACAAG